AGAUUGAACGCUGGCGGCAGGCCUAACACAUGCAAGUCGAGCGGCAGCACGGGUACUUGUACCUGGUGGCGAGCGGCGGACGGGUGAGUAAUGCCUAGGAAUCUGCCCUGAUAGUGGGGGAUAACGUUCGGAAACGGACGCUAAUACCGCAUACGUCCUACGGGAGAAAGUGGGGGAUCUUCGGACCUCACGCUAUCAGAUGAGCCUAGGUCGGAUUAGCUAGUUGGUAGGGUAAAGCCUACAAGGCUACGAUCCGUAACUGGUCUGAGAGGAUGAUCAGUCACACUGAACUGAGACACGGUCCAG
rnacentral:rRNA from 1 species